rnacentral:piRNA from 1 species
UGGCAUCACCUACGACCGCAAGGACAUCGUU